rnacentral:rRNA from 1 species
GAUGAACGCUGGCGGCGUGCCUAAUACAUGCAAGUCGAGCGAACACACGAGGAGCUUGCUCCUCUGACGUUAGCGGCGGACGGGAGCGUACCACGUGGAUAACCUACCUAUAAGACUGGGAUAACUUCGGGAAACCGGAGCUAAUACCGGAAAAUAUAUCGCACCGCAUGGGUCACUAGUGAAAUACGGUUUUUCUGUCACUUAUAGAUGGAUCCGCGCCGCAUUAACUAGUUGGUAAGGUAACGGGUUACCAAGGCAACGAUGCGGAGCCGACCUGAGAGGGUGAUCGGCCACACUGGAACUGAGACACGGUCCAGACUCCUACGGGAGGCAGCAGUAGGGAAUCUUCCGCAAUGGGCGAGAGCGUGACGGAGCAACGCCGCGUGAGUGAUGAAGGUCUUCGGAUCGUAAAGCUCUGUUAUUAGGGAGGAAGAAAUGUGUAAGUAACUAUGAACGUCUUGACGGUACCGAAACAGAAAGCCACGGCUAACUACGUG